rnacentral:lncRNA from 1 species
GUAACAUGGUGCAUUGGUGGAGGGAAGAGGACAACUUGCAGUAGCUGGUUUUCUCCCUUCACCAUUUGUGUUCUAAGGUGGGUACUCAGGCUUAGUGGCAAGUGCCUUUACCCCCUGAGCUCCUCUCCAGCCCCUCCCUAUUCAGAACUUUGGAGGUUAAGAGGAAAGGUUCAAGCACUGAACAAUGAUGUUUUUGUGUGGUGCUUUAGGCCAGGUCCUGUAUCAUCUUUGCUUCUCUUCCUGAAAGGUAGCCCUCUUCAUCUGCAAGUGAUAAAUGACCCACAAAGUGCCUUACAGAAACUGAUGGGGAGCACCAAGGCAGGGACCCAUGUUUGGUCCAAUCAGAAUCUCAAUGACCAGGUCCUUGCAGCAUCUGAGAUGUUGAGUCCCAUAUGUCAUAUGGACCUGUGAGUCUCCGAACAAACAAGACUUGGCAGCAGGCCCCAAAGGGAAAAAAUCAUCAUGAGAAACUCUGCUAAGAAGUAAACAAUUAAUACAAUAAAAAGAUGACCCACAGAAUGAAGCA